ACGGAAGGCAGCAGUGGGGAAUAUUGCACAAUGGGCGAAAGCCUGAUGUAGCGACGCCGCGUGAGCGAAGAAGUAUUUCGGUAUGUAAAGCUCUAUCAGCAGGGAAGAAAAAUGACGGUACCUGACUAAGAAGCCCCGGCUAACUACGUGCCAGCAGCCGCGGUAAUACGUAGGGGGCAAGCGUUAUCCGGAUUUACUGGGUGUAAAGGGAGCGUAGACGGCAUUGCAAGUCUGAAGUGAAACUCCGGGGCUCAACCCCGGAACUGCUUUGGAAACUGCAGAGCUUGAGUACCGGAGGGGUAAGCGGAAUUCCUAGUGUAGCGGUGAAAUGCGUAGAUAUUAGGAGGAACACCAGUGGCGAAGGCGGCUUACUGGACGGUAACUGACGUUGAGGCUCGAAAGCGUGGGGAGCAAACAGGAUUAGAUACCCUGGUA
rnacentral:rRNA from 1 species